AACGUUCAUAUGGGCGACGCAACAGUGAAAGCAAAUCAGCAAGCGGUGGCAUUUUUUUGUGUGUGCGUGUGCGUGCUUGUGGCUACGCAAGGCCUGAGAGUGUGCAUUCAUCGAGUGUUUUCCUCGCAGGAAGUGUACUGCGUACGAAGUGUGCGAGUGAACAGUUGCACCGGUCCGCUUUCACUGUGGCAGCUCAGUUGAGAUGGCACCGUGAAAGAAAUGCGCGCAGGCAUUCCACCACGCUGCACACAGGUACCGUCAGAGCAUCUGCACGGCCGUGGAAAAUGUACCAGCACAGGAGGCUCACAAUGGCGGUUCUCGAAUCUGGAAUCUGGAUGCAUUACGGAACCCGUUUCCCGCUGCCAUCAGGAAAGCAUGACAUUGUGUCCUUCGAUAUGGCAUUGCACGAGUACCUGGCGGUUCUUUACGCUGGA
rnacentral:lncRNA from 1 species